rnacentral:misc_RNA from 1 species
GAUUAAAUGGUGCAAAAACAAUACCAAAGUAAACAAAAAAUCUGAAGGAAUAUCGUUUCACACGUUUCCAACGAAUAUUUUAAUAAGAGGUGAAUGGGUAGCGGCUGUAAGACUGAGCCGAAAUGAACCACAAUGGCAGCCAUCCUCAUCAAGUGUGGUUUGUUCAGACCAUUUUGAUAAGGCUGACAUGUAUGAUACAAAACAUGGACUUCGCAGAGUCCAUAG